rnacentral:rRNA from 1 species
UACGUAGGGGGCUAGCGUUGUCCGGAUUUAUUGGGCGUAAAGAGCGUGUAGGCGGCCAGGUAGGUCCGCUGUGAAAGUCCGAGGCUCAACCUCGGAAUGUCGGCGGAAACCCUCUGGCUAGAGUCCGGAAGAGGAGAGUGGAAUUCCCGGUGUAGCGGUGAAAUGCGCAGAUAUCGGGAAGAACACCCGUGGCGAAGGCGGCUCUCUGGGACGGUACUGACGCUGAGACGCGAAAGCGUGGGGAGCAAACAGG